rnacentral:rRNA from 1 species
ACGGGAGGCAGCAGUGGGGAAUAUUGGGCAAUGGGGGCAACCCUGACCCAGCAACGCCGCGUGAAGGAAGAAGGCUUUCGGGUUGUAAACUUCUUUUACCAGGGACGAAGAAAGUGACGGUACCUGGAGAAAAAGCCACGGCUAACUACGUGCCAGCAGCCGCGGUAAUACGUAGGUGGCAAGCGUUGUCCGGAAUUACUGGGUGUAAAGGGAGAGUAGGCGGGAUUGCAAGUCCGUUGUUAAAUCUAUCGGCUCAACCGGUAGCUGCGGCGGAAACUGUAGUUCUUGAGUGAAGUAGAGGCAGGCGGAAUUCCUAGUGUAGCGGUGAAAUGCGUAGAUAUUAGGAGGAACACCAGUGGCGAAGGCGGCCUGCUGGGCUUUAACUGACGCUGAGGCUCGAAAGUGUGGGGAGCAAACAGGAUUAGAUACCCUAGUA